GGAUUAGCGAUGUAACAAGGUGCUCUUGCCGGAUCAGGCAAGGGAUAACAGGGAAUCGGGUGCAAGUCCCGAGCGGUCCCGCCACUGUAAGGAAGAGCUGAACUUCAUGAUGUCACUUGGGGAGAUCCCGGGGAAGACGAAGGAUGCAGCGCCCGUAUUCCAAGCCAGGAGACCUACCUUGAUUACACACACCAC
rnacentral:ncRNA from 2 species